UACGAAGGGGGCUAGCGUUGCUCGGAAUCACUGGGCGUAAAGGGUGCGUAGGCGGGUUUUUAAGUCAGAGGUGAAAUCUUGGAGCUCAACUCCAGAACUGCCUUUGAUACUGAGAAUCUUGAGUAUGGGAGAGGUGAGUGGAACUGCGAGUGUAGAGGUGAAAUUCGUAGAUAUUCGCAAGAACACCAGUGGCGAAGGCGGCUCACUGGCCCAUAACUGACGCUGAGGAGCGAAAGCGUGGGGAGCGAACAGG
rnacentral:rRNA from 1 species